GUCCACGCCUUAAACGAUGGAUGCUAGCCGUCAGCAAGCAUGCUUGUUGGUGGCGCAGCUAACGCAUUAAGCAUCCCGCCUGGGGAGUACGGCCGCAAGGUUAAAACUCAAAGGAAUUGACGGGGGCCCGCACAAGCGGUGGAGCAUGUGGUUUAAUUCGACGCAACGCGAAGAACCUUACCAGUCCUUGACAUUUUUCCGGACGGUUUUCCAGAAACGGAUUCCUCCUAGCAAUAGGUCGGAGAACAGGUGCUGCAUGGCUGUCGU
rnacentral:rRNA from 1 species